rnacentral:lncRNA from 1 species
CUUUUGGUGACUAGUUUCUCUUGGAUUUAGAGAUCGGACACCAGGAAGGUGGAAAUGUGUCACUGAUGCGUUCAAGUCUCCAAAAUCUUGAAAUCGGUUUUUCCAGCUUUAUUAAGAAUCUCUAUUUCUUUUCCCAUAGAAUGACAAAAGAACAUGUGCCCAUGUUAAAAAAAAAAAAAAGAACUUUUUGCCAGCAAUUUUUCUAAUAAGAUCAGGUCCAUUGUUCCUCCUCUUGGAUUCAAGACCCAGUGGAUGGCUUUAUCAGGAAAGGAAAGAGAUGUCUCAAGUCUUUUGGUCGCUCACAGAGCUGGAAUUACAAGUCAGGUCAUGGGACUCCACGGUCAUUUCUUCGAUAUGCCUCAUGAUUCGGUACAAACGGAUUCAUCCAUCUUUACAGAUGUGGGUGGCGCCUUUUCAAGUGCCUCAGUCUCCUCAUUAACGUCUGUGAUUCGACAGUAAUUUCUCCCUAAUUCC